GGUCGCCCCGCUCCCGCGUCCGGGCGCGACCGCCACCGCUGCCCGCCAGCAUGCCCGGCGUGGCCCGCCCGCCGCUGCCGCUGCUGUCGCUGCCACUGCUGCUACUGCUGCUGCUCCCGCGCGCCGGCCGGCCGCUGGACUUGGCCGACUACACCUACGACCUGGGCGAGGAGGACGCCCCGGAGCUCCUCAACUACAAAGACCCCUGCAAGGCGGCUGCCUUUCUUGGGGACAUUGCCCUGGAUGAGGAGGACUUGAGGGCCUUCCGGGUGCAGCAGGCUGCAGUUCUCAGACAACAAACAGCCCAGAGGUCGUCCAUCAAAGCUGCAGGUACACUGUGAUAGGCUGGCUUUUCGUGUUCCAGAGAUGUUUCAGAACCCACACCCCCUCCAUUUCCGGCCAGGCCCUCCCAGGACAGAGGCCAUGAACUUGAACCCAACACAGAGGCUUGCCUUCCUUUGGGAUCUAUUUAUCUUUCUCCCAGAAGAGAAAUAAAUGUUGACACCCACUGGAGUC
rnacentral:lncRNA from 1 species